UCCUUAAACAAAAUCUGAUUUAUUUUUCAUUGCUCAGAUAAUGGACUCCAGCAAAGUGUUCCUAAGUCCCUACAUCUGUCUUAAUAACGCUCCUUAAGAACCACCACACUGCUCCUCCAGCAGUCCUCCUGGCUCACCUGCUUGUCCACCCUUCAACAAUUCACUGAUCAACAACUCCAACCUGGAAAAGAAGGACAAAAGAAGACAAUGACUAACUCCACCAAUGACAAAGCUCCUUCCUAGCUCAACCUGUGUGGAUAUACUCAGCACAUCUGCACCAAAAUCUGUUUUGUCUGUCAGUACUCAGAUGCUGGAUUCCAGCGUAUUGUUCCUCAGUCCCUCCAUCUGUUUUGACAACUCUUCUUAAGAACCGCCCUCCUGGCACACCUGCCUGUCCAUCCUUCAGAGAUUCACCAUAGUCACCUUGCCUGCACCACAGGUCUCCUGAGGAAGACUACAGACUGUUCACCUCCUACAAGUGAUUUUCUGGCUGACCUCCUGGAACAAUGGCUCUUCUUUAAAUCAUCAUUCCCUCACCUCCUGGUGAACCCUCCAACAUUUCACAGAGCCACAACUCACACCUUGACAGGAAAGACAAAAGACACUUGUCAUCUCCACCAAUCUCCUGCCUAACUCAACCAGUGUGGAUAAAGUCAUCUUGUCUGCACCAUGCCGUCCUGGGUUCUUGAUCCAUAGCAAGAAGAAUCAUCAAACUUUGCAGAUUCACCAAUAAACCUUUUAAACUUUC